CCCCGUAGAGGUGGAGGGGAGUACCCCGUAGAGGUGGAGGGGAGUACCCCCGUAGAGGUGGAGGGGAGUACCCCCGUAGAGGUGGAGGGGAGUACCCCCGUAGAGGUGGAGGGGAGUACCCCGUAGAGGUGGAGGGGAGUAACCCCGUAGAGGGUAGAGGUGGAGGGGAGUACCCCGUACAGGUGGAGGGGAGUACCCCGUACAGGUGGAGGGGAGUACCCCGUACAGGUGGAGGGGAGUACCCCGUAGAGGCGGAGGGGAGUACCCCCCGUAGAGGCGGAGGGGAGUACCCCCGUAGAGGCGGAGGGGAGUAACCCCGUAGAGGUGGAGGGGAGUAACCCCGUAAAGAUAAAGACAGACAUAUCUACUGUGUUAUAAAUGCUAUGGGGAUAUUGCUAAUAUGAGAGGCAGUUUCCAUCCAACUCAACUGUGGGCAAAAGUUUUGAGAAUGACACACAUAUUAAUUUUCACAAAGUGUGCUGCCUCGGUUUGUAUGAUGGCAAUUUGCAUAUAGUCCAGAAUGUUAUGAAGAGUGAUCAGAUGAAUUGCAAUUAAUUGCAAAGUCCCUCUUUGCCAUGCAAAUGAACUGAAUCCCCCAAAAAACAUUUCCGCUGCAUUUCAGCCCUGCCACAAAAGGACCAGCUGACAUCAUGUCAGUGAUUCUCUCAUUAACACAGGUGUGAGUGUUGACGAGGACACGGCUGGAGAUAACUCUGUCAUGCUGAUUGAGUUUGAAUAACAGACUGGAAACUUCAAAAAGAGGGUGGUGCUUGGAAUCAUUGUUCUUCCUCUGUCAAUCAUGGUUACCUGCAAGGAAACACGUGCCGUCAUCAUUGCUUUGCACAAAAAGGGCUUCACAGGCAAGGAUCUUGCUGCCGGUAAGAUUGCACCUAAAUCAACCAUUUAUCGGAUCAUCAAGAACUUCAAGGAGAGCAGUUCAAUUGUUGUGAAGAAGGCUUCAGGGCGCCCAAGAAAUUCCAGCAAGCACCAGGACCAUCUCCUAAAGUUGAUUCAGCUGUGGGAUUGGGGCACCACCAGUAGAGCUUGCUCAGGAAUGGCAGCAGGCAGGUGUGAGUGCAUCUGCACGCACAGUGAGGCAAAGACUUUUGGAAGAUGGCCUGAUGUCAAGAAGGGCAGCAAAGAAGCCACUUUUCUCCAGGAAAAACAUCAGGGACAGACUGAUAUUCUGCAGAAGGUACAGGGAUUGGACUGCUGAGGACUGGGGUAAAGUCAUUUUCUCUGAUGAAUCCCCUUUCCGAUUGUUUGGGGCAUCUGGAAAAAAGCUUGUCCGGAGAAGACAAGGUGAGCGCUACCAUCAGUCCUGUGUCAUGCCAACAGUAAAGCAUCCUGAGACCAUUCAUGUGUGGGGUUGCUUCUCAGCCAAGGGAGUGGGCUCACUCACAAUUUUGCCUAAGAAAACAGCCAUGAAUAAAGAAUGGUACCAACACAUCCUCCGAGAGCAACUUCUCCCAACCAUCCAGGAACAGUUUGGUGACGAACAAUGCCUUUUCCAGUGUGAUGGAGCACCUUGCCAUAAGGCAAAAGUGAUAACUAAGUGGCUCGGGGAACAAAACAUCGAUAUUUUGGGUCCAUGGCCAGGAAACUCCCCAGACCUUAAUCCCAUUGAGAAUGUGUGGUCAAUCCUCAAGAGGCAGGUGGACAAACAAAAACCCACAAAUUCUGACAAACUCCAAGCAUUAAUUAUGCAAGAAUGGGCUGCUAUCAUUCCGGAUGUGGCCCAGAAGUUAAUUGACAGCAUGCCAUGUAAUUGUCAAUAAAAGCCUUUGACACUCAUUAAAUGCUUGUAAUUAUACUUCAGUAUUCCAUAGUAACAUCUGACAAAAAUAUCUAAAGACACUGAAGCAGCAAACUUUGUGGAAAUUAAUAUUUGUGUCAUUGUCAUUGACUCAGUCAGAAUGUGACAUGGUGAAAUGGUGCUUCGAGUGAUAGACAAUAUAGAGACAGAAUACAGACAGAGGACUUUACACAGUGAACAUGUAAUGAUAAUAGAAUGAGUGAAUUACCAGUCAGGAUAUAAAGGUAUAGAACUAAGCUCAGACUCAACAGUCACAGCUGGUUAAAUAUACAGGAGACUCUAUAGUCAUUGGAAGUCAACAACUGCCAUGUAAAGCUCUUUCAGAAGACAUUAAAGAAUGUGUCAGGAUCAAAACAAUGACAGCAAUGUUUGUCACCUUUUCCUGCUGAAUCAGUUUUCUACCAACAUAGACAAUAUGAAAGUAAAAUACAGGGUUUGUUCAGGCUACUGUACUGAAUUUUAAAACUUUCUAAAAAUCCCUGCUUUAGUGAUAGUCACAAUCAUCACAGUCACCUACAGUCAAAAACAGAUGCUUUUUAGAGAGAGGGAGAGGGAGGGGGAGAGAGAGAGAGGGAGAGAGGGCAUUCUGCGGAGUGUCUUUGUAGGCAGGCUUUUCUGCAGUGUCAUUCUCUCAAGGUGUUUGUGCUUCAGUCCUCUUCUCUUCCACAGCUCUUCACUUCAAGCCUAAUUAGCUUUCCCCUCUUGAGAUAGAUAAUCGCUUGCGACAGCUUCCCCAAUCACUCUCCAUCUAGUAUCCUGAACCAGCGCAAAUAACAGAUCAACUUAGCAGCCAGUCGAUAUGGAGACCUUCCUGCCCCCCCCUCUCUCCUACUCUUAACUGAUUGACUCUUUGAUAGCAUCAGACGUGUUUUAAAAAUGUCCUCUCUGUAUAAACAAUGUUGUGCAGUAUUUUAUUUAUUUUGUAAUAUAUAAAUAUAUAUAAAUCGGAUCUAUUUUUACACCUGUUUGAUUUUCAUGGAUGUGUGUCUGUGUGUGUGUGAGGACAGAGUUUGGGAAGCGCUGGUUUAAGGUAGACCAACAAAGUGAGACUAAGAUUUGAGGUUAGGAGUUGACCCAAUCAGAAAUGUCUUUAUUUAUUUAGAUGGUUGAGUUUCUUUUUGUUUCAGAUGUGUUGUUGAUGUCAUUGCUCUAGAUCUCUGUGAUCUCUUUUUGUCGGUUAAGACAAGGUGAGAGCAGACAUCAUAGAAUGUGUUCCCGUUUCAAAUGCUAUGUGUAGCCUAACAUGGGCAUGGAAUGGCCUUAUUGUGAAGUCCUCUCCCAUUGGUAAUAUUAUGAUGUCCGUAUCACCCCCCCCAAUCCCAUGUGUUUCAACAGUGUCACUUCCUCCAGUGUUAGUUUGUGUUUUUGCAUCAUCCAAAAACAUGAGAUGAAAUUCAUUUCUAUAUUUUCAGAAAGAAGAGCUGGACUUGGACUUAAACCUAAAAAAAAGGCUCCAAUUUACUAAAUGAAUUUCAGGAGCGGAUAAGUUUCCAGCUGCCCUCACUGCCUUAACCCCCAGGUUCUGCUUCCACAUUUCCAAACAGAGAGUGAAACGGCUUUUCUUAGGAACAUGGAACGGUGUACAGUAGACCGAUGUCAGUUUGUAGAGAGUACUAGGUGAAAAACAGAAUAUUUAUUACUUGCGUUGGAAGAAAUUGUUUACUUAUUGAAUGUUUUCUGUCUAAUGUAUAGGAGUUUAGAUGUAAUAAAAAAGCAUUUUUGUUAA